CCGGAGGUGUGGCGGGGGCUGGUGAGGGAGUGGCGUCGCUCUCGUCACCCGCUGGGAUCUUGCUCACAGUACUGAAAGCUCACAAUAAACCCGGAGUGAGGUCUUCUCGGGGGAGGGGAGAAGUUCGUCCUCCGCUGGGCCAAGCCAAAACUGAAUUUUGCCUUUGCACCGAGAGGAGAUCAGACUGUAGGACAAACCUAUGAUAAUCAAACUUGCAAGUUAUGAAGUUUUAAAGGUUGAAUGCCUGCUAUGCGACAGGCUGUCUGAUGGGCACUUGGAUCUAAGAGCGAAAAAGUGGUCUGGAGCGGUAGAGAAGUUAAGCUGGUAUCAGAAAAAUGCAAGUUUGCAUCCUUACAUCGCCAUUUACAACAGUGUGACUGAGCCUCUAUAAAAUGAGUAUGGUGGUGAUAAUUGAAGCAGAUAACCAACGUAAAGGACUUAGUGGAAAAAUGAAGGGGAACUAAUGGGAUUCUAAAACUAAUUGUCAAAGCUCUCAGAAACUCUCCAACCUCCAAGGCCCAAAGUAUUUCCAUUUGCCUUAAUAGCAAGGACAUCAUUCUAUUGUAGGAUCCACAAGUUAUCUCCUUCUGAGUUAAUAACAGCCUGCCUCAUGUACUUGGAAUUAUUUCCAAUAUAGAUUCUACCUUAAAACAAGCUGAUAUGACUAAUUGCUGCAGGGGAUCCACACUACAACUCCUGUUUUAUCAACAAUAGGAGGAAGCUGCAUUUCCAAAGUACCUGUCUAAGCAGCUUCUGCAGGAUCUGAAAUCCAGAGAUUUGGUCUUCUGAAAAAGCAUCAGAAAAAAAAAUUUCCCUUGAUCCUCAAUGGAAAAAAAUCUCAUCAGGCACUGUUAAGGACAACCCAACAAGUUAAACUUCAAGGCUUUGAUCCUUGGAUUCAUGUUACCCAACCAAAAAUACAGGCAUCAUUUUUUUUUCUGGGAUAUUGGAUAUUUAAUCCAUUGCAAGACCUCAAACCAGAGAUUCUGGGGAAUUCUCCAGAGCUGCUGACUACAGAAAUGGAUUGCAUAUGCCCAUUAAAACAUAACAAGAUUAA